GAAAAAAUGAUUUUUCAGGGAAAGAGAAAUACUGUCUAGAAAUUCAAGGGCUAUAGAUACUUGGUAACCACAGCCAAGGCUGAAGUAGAAUAUGGGCAAGCAUACUUAAUAAAAAUGAUCAAGCAUGCAAGCUUGAUCCAUGCAAAGCCAUUCUGAUACUCUUUCAGACUGGAAGAUGAAAGAGAUUUCAGCUACUGGUUCAGUUAUUAUUCUGAAGUGAGGUUUUAUUGUUUUAAGAACUCACAGGUUGAGACUUGUCACAGAAGUCAAGCUAGAUCAUCAUCUGUGCUUACAACUGAUACUGCAUUCAACAAAAGAUCUACCAAUGUCUAUUGAUAGGUAAACUUCAGUCUAUAUUCCUGAGGCUGUAUUAAUCUCAAUUAAUAGCUGAGAUUAUUAAUUGUAAUUAAUUCAUACACAUCUGGCCUGGCAUCUGUGAUUAGACUACUGUUUAGUUGCGUUUGCUGUAGUCUACAGUCAUCCUACUGGAUCCAUUCUGCAGAUGCCAGACCAGUGAAUUAAUGGAAAUGUAAGGUCCACAAUCCUUAAAUCCUUUAGAUCCUAGGAUGCAAUAUUGUUUGUUUCUUAAGAAGUAGGUAUGGGCAACACCAGCAGCCUCAGAAUGUUCAAAGGGACUUACGGAAUAAAAAUUUUUGGAAGAGUUUGCUCAGAUGUCUCAGCCCAUGUGUCAGAAUCCCUAGUCCCCCAAACAGUGCUCUGGCCUUAAUAUAACAGUUUCCUUAGUUAGGCUUUUAAUCAUCUCUGAAGUUAAUCCAUUCAACUAAGACUUGGACUUGGACCUUGACUUUCUCUGCUUUCCAGCUGCAGGAGAUGAGAACUUCUCUGCAACCAAAGAGCCCUCUUCCUUUUGCACCUGGCAUUCAAUUCCUUGUUUCUUACCCUCAGCUAUUCUCCAUCUUUCUGUAGCACAUCGGUGGUCCUUAGCAAUAGGUAAGGAUAUUGUUAUCCUUAUAGCUAUUAUUUUUUCCAUAUGUCUCAAAUGUCUGAUUCAUCAACCUGCUAGUGUGUUCCCUUUCACAGAUUCACUUUCUCAGUUCACCACCAGUGAAAAUUUAUGACAUAGAGAUUGUCUGUGCUUCAGCGAUGGUGUCCUUAUCUCCAGUCUGGGCAGUGAGUGAUCUGGCUCUAAACCUCAUCUUAUCAUUUGUGCUUUCAGACUUCUCCUGGUACAGACCAGGUUCUCCAGAAGAGAUGCUGGACAGAGUUUGGGUUGCAAGGUGCUGCCAAGUCUGAGCUGGGUCAAGAUUGAAUUGGAGGAGAGGCCAACAGAAAUUGCUGGGUACCAUGUGGAAAUGGAAAAUAAGCAUUCUCUUUCCACUUCUCUUCUUUCGGAGUCAUCCCUCUGCUGUCUUUUUUUCCACGUAGUGGCUGGAGUGACCCAUCACAAACUAUAAGUCAGAUCAUGAUACUGCCCCCUGAAAACCUUCUGAUGGCUUCCCACAACUCUUAGAAGACAACUCAAAGUCCCUCCUGUGGCCUCCAAGCCUUUACAUGCUUUGACUCCAGGAUGCCUCCUGACCUCCCAUCACUGUCUCCCUUAGUCACCUCCCUCUAACCACAGUGGCCUCCUAGCUGUUUCUCAAACACAUGGAGCACAUUCCCUCUUCAGGGCCUUUGCAUUUCCUGUUCUGUGUUCCUGGAAAACUCCCCAGUUGCUUGCGUGGCUUGCUCCUUCACUCCAUUCUGGCACCUGUCCAAGUGUCUCUUUCUCAGCCUUCCCUGACUGUCCUCUGCCAAACAGCCUCCCCAUUGCUUUCUUUCUCUUUCUCCUGGGGGCAUUUUUCUUUCUGGCACUUAUUACAGUGUGACAUUAUACCAUGUAGUUGUUUGUUUACUUGUUUAUUGUCUCCCUCCUCCACCUCGACAAGAACACUAGUUACACAUGGCAGGCACUUGGUCUAUUUUGUUAUGUUUCCAGCUCCAAGGCCUGGCAUAUAGUGGGAACUGAGUAUAGACUUGUUGAAUAAAUGAAUACAUCCUUAGUUUUCUUUCUUUCUCUUUGUAAGGAAUCAUAAAUGCUUGUCCUUAAUUCACCACUUGGGACUAUGGUACAUUAUUCUGAAAAGCAUUGUUUUAACUCGAAGUAUUAAUCAGAAAAAUAUAUAAACUUCCAUUUUCUUCCUUUUUAAUUUUAAGUUGCCAGUUGCUUCAGCUACAUUUAAAGCAGCCAAAGCAGAAAUAUCAUAACAUUGUAAAUCAACUAUUCUUCAAUAAAACUUUUAAAGAAAGAAAGAAAGAAAGCAGCCAAAAUUCUUUAUGCCAAAUAGAAACACAUGGGCUUGACCUCCAAAUCCUUUAUGGUCAGUUCUGCCUGUCAUUAUCAGGUCCAGUCAUCUGUUGCUACAAUUUAGUUCAGGGGUUCUUAACAUGGAGUUGGUGACCCUCAAUGAAAUUAAUGGAUAACAUUCUGGGGACUCAAGAAUCUCCUGAAGAGUAACUUUUUGGCAUAGAGGGUUAAGGAUCCAGCAUUGUCACUGCAGCAGCUUGGGUUGCUACUGUGGUGUGUGUUCAGUCCUUGGCCCGGGAACUUCCAACAUAUGGGUGUGCCCCCCCCCCCAAAAAAAAGAAUCUUCUGAAAUUGAGUCAAAAUUGUAUGUGCAUUUUUCUAGAUUUUAAAGGAGAACCCAACACCACCUACAGAGGUUAAGAACUCCUCAAAUCAUGGCACUUAUGACCAUUCACCAUGCCUUCAUCCACACUUUAUUACCAGCAUAGUACUAUUGAUUGGGCAUAGGUUUGAGGAGUAGCAGAGACCUAAAGUUCUCCCUUUUCUUCCUUAAGAAAGUGUAAUAAAACACACACACACACACACACACACACACACACACACACAAUGUAGUUACUGUGAAAACUGGCUAUAAAUACUAAAGGGUAAAAGCCUAAGAUCAAAUUUAGCAGUCCAUCUUUCUUUCCAGCCACCUCCAAUUCUUUAUGGAAUGAUAACACUCUGUACAGUUGUAUAUAUUUAAAUUCAUCCAUCCAUCUAUCCACACAUUCAUCCUUCCUUCCUUCCUUCCUUCUACCCAUCCAUCCAAAAAAUUCCCCACAGCAUGUAGUUCUCAAAUGAGAGAGACACUUUGUUUUCUCUUCAGAUUCUAACCUUGGUAACAUAAUUCCAUUUUCAAAUAAACUGAUGACAUGGCUUUCUUCUCUUCUAUCUUUUGCACAAUUCUGAUCUGGAUAUUAAGGAUAAUGCCUCCAGUAACAGUUUCAUUACAGUAUUCAACACAUUUUGGGCAGUGGUUAAUGUUUACCCAUGAAAGUGAAAAUGAAGAAAGAUAUUUUCUUCUUUCUGCAAUGAAAAUAACUAUUUUUCUAUUUAAUGAAGUAAUGAUACAAAAAUUCAUUCUUUACUAAAUAUGAAAAUGUCAGUUGAAAUCAAUUCUGAUUUUGCCUAGAGGCCAUCACUAGCGAUAUGCCAGUGUAUUUAUUUCCACACUUUUUUCAAUUCUCACAUACACAUGUAGACAAUUACUUUUACAAAUAUGGAAUUAUACUAUAUAUGCUCUUUUAGAGUUUGUUUUUCCAUUUUAUACAUUAAAUAUAUUUAUAUUUGCAUUAUUAUUUAUUAGCUACAGAGAAUCUAAUGUACUGACAAAACAGUUUUAAAAACCGGCCUCCUAUUGAUGGAUACUGAGAUCAUUUCCUUACCCUCCUCUCCUUAUUCUAUAAGACAUCCAUGUUUGCUUGUCUUUUUCUGUAGGAAAUAGACUGGGUCUUGGUCUCUUUUUUCUGUAAAACAAGAAGUUGAACUGGAUGAUCUCUAAGGUGCUUUCUAAGCAUCCAAAUUCUGAAAGAUAAAUUAUAAUUUGAUUUCUUGCCUUUCUUCCUUUCUCUCUCUUUUUCUUUCUUUUUACGGCUAUAUCUGCAACAUAUGGAAGU